rnacentral:rRNA from 1 species
UACGUAGGGGGCAAGCGUUAUCCGGAUUUACUGGGUGUAAAGGGAGCGCAGACGGAUGGAUAAGUCUGAAGUGAAAGCCCGCGGCUCAACUGCGGGACUGCUUUGGAAACUGUGCAUCUUGAGUACGGGAGGGGCAGGCGGAAUUCCUGGUGUAGCGGUGAAAUGCGUAGAUAUCAGGAGGAACACCGGCGGCGAAGGCGGCCUGCUGGACCGAAACUAACGUUGAGGCUCGAAAGCGUGGGGAGCAAACAGG